rnacentral:rRNA from 1 species
UACGUAGGGUCCGAGCGUUGUCCGGAAUUACUGGGCGUAAAGAGCUCGUAGGUGGUUUGUCGCGUUGUUCGUGAAAACUCACAGCUUAACUGUGGGCGUGCGGGCGAUACGGGCAGACUGGAGUACUGCAGGGGAGACUGGAAUUCCUGGUGUAGCGGUGGAAUGCGUAGAGAUCCGGAGGAACACCAAAGGCGAAGGCAGUGUCCUGGGGAGUACCUGACGCUCAGGUGCGAAAGCCAGGGGAGCGAACGGG